rnacentral:misc_RNA from 1 species
UUAUUCUGUAUCUGUCAUUUGAUGGUCCAAACUGAGAUUUUCCAGCCCUACAAGUAGUGGCUUCUGUUCUCUCUGGCCAAUUUCUCAUCAUCUCCUUCUCUUCUACCAAAACGAUUCAUGGCGGAACUGUGGGGUGUGACAGUUGGCGAUUUUUGGAGAUUGGCGUAACAGCUGGGAUAUUUGGCUAUUUGGGCAACUUUUGAGGAGUUGUACCAACUUAUGCCAACCCCGAUGUUUUCUGACAACCCGACAAUCACCUCAUUUCGCCCACAUAAAUGGUUGAGAUCUUCUCGAACUUCUGAUCAUCCUCCUGCGAAACUAAACUGGUGUCUCUAAAAAGCACACUGUAGUUGAGUUGUUGGGGAACGCCAGCUGGAGUCUGGCAGAGUCGUUUCGGCCUCUUGACAUGUGUGUUCUCAUCAUUUACGCUGAUAGUCAACUCCAGCCAAAUACCACGAGGUGAUCUGCCGAUAGACUGAGUACAUUGUCCGCGAAAACCAUGUGAGCAACUGCUGUCCGAGUCCACGAGACUCUGGUGUCAAACGCGUUGCCAAAGGAAAGGGAUGAGACAUGGUCCGGGUCUGGGCUCAUCGCCACUGGACUACGGUCACUGGAGAUCCAUUCACUUUGUUCAGCCACCCAAACCCAGCUCAUUAAACUCUGUUCAACCAGGCUUAGCAGGUUGAACUAGGCUUAGCCAGUUGAACAGGGCUUGGACUUGGAGCAGGGUCAGGCUAGAUCCGAAGCUUUAACCAGGCUCAGCUUUGCCUUCACCAGUUCCAAGGUGGGCGAAAUCUGCAGAAAGACCUUGCUGCGAGUCGUAGAGCCGAGUCGAGGGUGAAGUGCGAUGUCAGUGGAAAUUUCUGAAUAUUUCGACACAUUUCUGAAUGCACAACACAUUCUCGAAACCUCGACACAUUCCCGAGAUACCUCGACCUGUAGCUGUCGGUUUGAUCUGAGCUUGUCAUUUUCCUGUCAUUUCAUAACAAAAAGUCUAAACUUUGCUCACUAAUUUUCUUUAAGUUUGGGGAAAUGAUCUCCGACGGUAAACAAACAUAACGUCAAACCCCAAAAUUAACCAAAAUUAGCCCCACCAGAAAGCCCACCACAGAGGUCCUUCCCCCUUGCCAAAACCCAAUCCAAACCACGUAAUAUCACUCUCAGAGUGAAUCGGAAAAUGACAUUGUAAAGCUGGCAGUUGGGCGAGUUCAAUAGUACCUCCUUCAUCGCGAUAUCUCACCCUUUCACCAAACUGGCGUCUCCAUUCUCCACCCCCAGCUGGCACCAACUCUGUCCAUCAUGGCCAUCUGACAGCUGACCGUGAACUGAGACCGAGACUGAGACCUGAGGCUGAGGCUGAGACCCGAGACUGGAUCGCGCGGAGUGCCAUCGAUCUCGAUCUCGUCUGCGUUCGUGCUGAGUCAAAGUGACACAGAAGCCAGGGUGACACAGACUGAAGGACACAGAUAGGACACUGACAGAAGCUCAAGGACACAGAUGGAAGCUCAAGUGGCUCAAAUAGAGUGGGAAAAAACUGGCACAAACAGAUUGGGGGCAAGUGACACAAAUAGAUUGGGGUGAGGCGUCACAAUGGGGACUCAUGAACGGACACAAACGGGCGCAACGGAAACAACGGACACAAAGGACACAAACGAACGGACACAAACGGAUCAAAACGACCAAAGUGUCGCGAGUGUCUCCAGAUGUUCUGAGUGUCUCCAGCAAUGUUUGGAACCCUUUGGAACGUCUCUGGAGUGCCCGAAAGACCAUGUCAUACCAACUCCAGACACAGAAUGAACUGACUGGACUCGAUUGGACUUGGUUUUGUGUCAGAUGUGAGCAACACAAGUUUGCCAGUUGCGAUUUGCGAGAUUUGCGAUUUGUGAGAUUUGCCAGUUGCGAGAUUUGUCAAUUGCGAGAUUUGCGAGAGAUGUUUGGGCGCCAAUUUAUCGUUGCGCGAUAAACUGGCAAGACCGCUAACCCAGAUGACGACUAUCUCCACUAUUCCCGAGCCCCCAUCGGAUAGGAUGGUCAUGUGUCCCUUGAAUUUGGUCAUGUGACUGGUCAUGUGACUGAGGAGUCGGAUGUGUCCCCAAAAUCCCCAGACUGGUCGUGCUCAAAAUGUCGGAAUCUCCCCAUUUUCGCGCCGACCAGUCUCGUGUCAAAAUGCCCCAGAAUGCCCCGAAUGUCGGAAUUGCAGUCACGUGCACCAGAAUGAGACGGAUUUUCGACAACUCGCAACCAUAUAUAUAAGCACUUACUCCGAGCCCAAAUCGAGCCCGGACAAUCUGCACUCAGUUCUCCAAAAUGAAUGACAAAAUCUGGUACGGAGAGUGUCCCGAUUGUGGUGUCCGAAUUCUACUCAAGGACUACAAAGAUCAUAUGAUGAAUUGUGUUCCCAAACUAAUUGGUGCUCAAGGGAGGUAACGCGGAAGGUGUUGUUUUCGGGACGCGUGGUUGGGAUUCGUUUUGUUGACUUUCUGGUUUGUCGACUCUCUGGUUUAAUUGGAUGUGUCUACAACUACCGUACUUACACCAUUGCCAUACGUAGUGGCUCAGGUACUUGUACCACACUAAAACCACGAAUAAUAUAAUAUCAGCUAGUA